rnacentral:rRNA from 1 species
UACGAAGGGGGCUAGCGUUGCUCGGAUUGACUGGGCGUAAAGGGCGCGUAGGUGGCCUGUGGAAGUCUGCGGUGAAAGCCCGGCGCUCAACGCCGGGUCGGCCGUGGAUACUCUCGGGCUCGAGCUUACUAGAGGCAGAUGGAAUUCCGGGUGUAGCGGUGGAAUGCGUAGAGAUCCGGAAGAACACCGGUGGCGAAGGCGGUCUGCUGGGGUAAUGCUGACACUGAUGCGCGGACAGCGUGGGGAGCAAACAGG